GGGAGGGCACAGCGCGCGCGUGCGUAACGUGUGACGUUUGCCGUGCGCGUGCGCAUGGCGUUUGAUGUGUGCGUGUGCGCUUUUUGUGCGCUGGGCCGGUGGGGAGGGGGCGGGGCUGCGGGGGAGAACUACUGCGCCAGGUCCGCGACAAAUGAAUUAGACACAAUUAUCCACGGGAGACUCGGUUUUCCACUCUGUAAAUUACGGAUAUUAGGAAUACUUGCCGCCUUGGGUUGUUUUGAGCACUUUCAUUGUUUAGGUGCUGUAUUUAUUGGGUGUGCGUUCCCUGGGAGAGCCCGGGGUAGGGCCUCUCUGCCCGUGGAGUGCGGGAGCGAAGGGGCUGGCCUAGCUGACCACCGGGGCCCCUUCUGGCUCUGACCGCCCUCGUAUCCCAAGUAAUUAUUUACACGUUGCGCGUUCAUUUAUGUAUUAUGUGUAAUCAUGGCACAGUAUCCUGAAGCCGUCGGAGUCUGUGUGCUGGUGCAAGGUCUGGGACAAGUUUAAGAAGAGAGAGGUGAGCUGGAGCUGAGGGGUGGGCGCGCAGGCUAACAGGAGGUCACCUCUGGAGAGUCAGAGGGCAAGGACGGGUGAAAGGCUCACGGCCACAGCGAAGGAAAUGCUGUCAUCACCCCUCCGCGAACACCUGGCACAUCCAGAUGAGCUGCUGAGCUUCCUCUUCUCCUGGCCUGAUAUCCCCGCCGGAUGGUAGUGCAGGCAGAACCUUAAUUGGUAAUAAAUCAAUAAGAAAUAUUUACAUUCACUCAGUGAAAAGUGUCAUGUCUGAGCUCAGCAUAUAUCGGAGCCACACAUGGACACCUCUCCCUCCUCCACUAAGAGCAGAAAAUGAACAAAUCCCAGGAACAAGUGUCAUUCAAGGAUGUAUGUGUGGACUUCACUCAGGAAGAGUGGUAUCUGCUGGACCCUGCUCAGAAGAUACUAUACAGAGAUGUGAUCCUGGAAAAUUAUAGCAAUCUUGUCUCAGUAGGGUAUUGCAUUACUAAACCAGAAGUGAUCUUUAAGAUCGAGCAAGGAGAAGAGCCCUGGAUAUUAGAGAAAGGAUUCCCAAGCCAGUGCCACCCAGAAAGGAAAUGGAAAGUUGAUGACAUGUUAGAGAGCAGCCAGGAAAAUGAAGAUGACCAUUUUUGGGAGCUUCUGUUCCACAACAACAAAACACAUUGAGCACUGAUGUGCCUUCACAGGAAACUUGGCCCAUGUGUUUCCAGGAUUCUUGAUGUUUCUUCUGAUCUCCAGGGUCAGGAAGUAUGAUUGAAGUUUCUAAGCCAGCUCAGGUUUCAGCUCCUUGGAAGAAAGCAGUUCUUGUGAAGUAAGAAGAAGGGGCCCUAGGAACAGGAAUCCCACCUUGAAGAUUGCUUGUCUAACCUGAACGUUGUUAGCCCAACUUCAGAGCAAAGUCAGGAAACUGCCAGAAAGGGCAGAGCCUGAUGGUUUGCACAGCCUGAAGUAAUUCUUCCUCCUGCUCAGAAUGAGUGGUGCUCUGUAAAUGUCAUCACAUCCAGAAGGUCUCCCCACUAUGAUGAAAGGUUUGGACCACAUCUCAGAAAAGAUAGGUAACUGGACUGAGUGGUAGCAAAGGGUAUGCUGGUGGAAAUAUUAAUCUUGGAGCAUUGGUGUGGGCACGGUCUGCAGGGAGAGAUCACUGGGCGUAGCUGGAGGAGUUCUAUCUCCAGUCUUUAACCAACAUGCCCCACAUUCAGUCUCCAUGGUCUUUGUCCAGAUUCUGAGCUGCUCUCAUACCAUGUCCAUUGUGAUAUGGGCCCUCUAGAGAUGUGGUGCCACCUUACGUACCCUGAUCCUAUAGAGGCAGAGAGUAGGGGUGUCUGUGUCUGCAUCAUUGCAAAGCUGAGAAACCUUGACUCUUGGAUGUGUAAGUAACCUGUCCAGACUCAUCCAGUUUGUAAAUGGCAGAGCAGGAAUAGAAAACACCCAUCCAUCUUAUAACAGGUAAGUCACCUGCCAAGUUCUGUUGCAACUGAGUUAGAAGCAAACAAUCUUAAAACAGACCUUUCCUCAAAGCACUCCCACCAUUUGCUGCAGCAUGAUUUCGUAAGAGUUAGCAACUCAGUAGGAAUGUAAGUAAACAAAUAUCCUGAGUAUUUCACCUACAGGAGUGAACAUGGCAGAUAACAAUUUGUCUUCUGAUAUAAUAUUAUUUGUUGAAUUAGUCCCAGAUUAGUUCUGAAAGAAAAAUGAAAUUGACCAUUAGGAAGUGAACCCAGUGAAAAGUUGCAUAGCCAACUUCUGUGAGAUCUUGUCAGAUUUACUUGUGUGAAUUCUCACUCAGCAUGGCUCUUGCUGUCUCCUCAAGGGCCAAAGAAACUUUUUCCCAUAGAUGAGUGUUUAACCAGUUGGUGAGCAGCAGUUUUUAGGAAGCUGAAUCUCAAAGGUCCAUAGCAGGCCAGAUCUCGCAUGACCACCCCUGUGUUCUCCCAUAACUGUACAUUCAGCUUCCCCUGCACUUUCCCAAGAGCAAUAGAAAAAAAGCAAAUACCAGGUGAGUUGUUUAUUCUUUUCUCAUGUUUCCAUUGCAUAAAAUAAGAUUAACAUGAUAAAAAUUAUCAAGGAAUUUAUAGUUAACAGAUCUAAAAUAGGGAAAAGUCAACAUAUUAAUUAUAAAGACAUCAAGAUAAUUACAAUAGUUUUAUUUUAGUGUGUAUAUAUUAUACAUUGUGUCGUAUAACUGUAAUUAUUAGUAACAUGCAGACUUAUCUCUGAUAUUCUGUGCAAAAGGAAAGUGCUUUGUUUUGACUAUAAGAAUAAACAAAAGAGGCCGGGUGUGGUGGCUCAUGCCUGUAAUCCCAGCACUUUGGGAGGCCGAGGUGGGUGGAUCAUUUGAGAUCAAGAGUUUGAGACCAGCUUGGCCAUAUGGUGAGACCCAGUAUCUACUAAAUAUACAAAAAUUAGUCAGGUGUGGUGGCGUGUGCCUGUAAUCCCAGCUACUCAGGAGGCUGAGGUAGGAGAAUCGCUUGAACCCUGGAGGCAGAGGUUGCAGUGAGCUGAGAUUUUGCCACUGCACUCCAGAGUCUGCGUGACAGAAUGAGACUCUGUCUCAAAAAAAAAAAAAAAAAAAAAAGAAUAAACAAAAGUAAUUCUUCAUGGAACACAAAGACUUCCUGGCCUGAAGUCUAAGAAAAUGUCUUUAACUCUCUUCAUGAAAGUGAUGGAGUUGACACCCUCAGUUAACAAGCCUGAAAUGCAUGCUGCCUGUGAUUGCCAUGCUGUUUGUUCUUUAGUGGCACAGAAGGCAGAAAGUCAAAGGACAGCUCAAUUGAUCCAGUUGGUGGAUUUCUUCUGUCUGCUUCAUGUGCUUGUCUUCCUGGAGUUUUAUAGCCUAGCAUAUCCCCAGGUGUUUUAUAACUCUUACCCUAUUUUUCUUGACUGAUUACAUGCUCUCUAGAUUUUUAACUGUAUCAAAGGAUAAGAUAACCCCUCGCCCCAAGUAUUUACCCAUAUUUACAUAAUACAUUCUUUUUAUCUGCUUUAUCUUUCAGCCUCCACUGUGCUUAUUAUACAGUGGCAACUUCCCAAAGGGGUCUGAUAGUCCUUCAGUUCUUUCCUCAGCUAGUCCAUCAGCACACUGCCCACUUGGAGUUCAGUGGUGUCUGGUGGCAAUAUAUAUUAUAUACGUAACACACACAGACACACAGUGCAUACAGUUGGUUCUCACGUUGCACGAUAGUGUGGAGCUCUAAAAAUGGCUGUAAAAGCAGAAAUCAGACUAGAAAUCCUUUUUUUUUUUUUUCUUGAGACAGUCUCACUCUGUUGCCCAGGCUGGAGUGCAGUGGCAUGAUCACAACUCACUGCAGCAGCCUUGACCUCCCAGGCUCGAGAUCCUUGCAUCUCAGCCACCCAAGUAGCUGAGACUACAGGUGCAUGCCACCAUGCCUGGCUAAUUUUUGUGGGGUUUUUUUGUUUUUUGUUUUUUGUUUUUGGAGAGAUGGGGUCUCCCCAUAUUGCCUAGGUUGGUCUUGAACUCCUGGGCUCAAGCCAUCUGCCUGCCUUGGCCUCCCAAAGUGCUGGCAUUACAGGUUGUGAGCUACCACACCCAGCCUAGAAAUCUUAAUUGAUGGGAAGAAUUUCAGUUGUUCCAUUACCUUUAGAAAUGUUUGUCAAGGCCAGGCAGGGUGGCUCAUGCCUGUAAUCCUAGCACUUUGGGAGGCUGAGGCAUGUGGAUCACUUUGAGGCCAGGAGUUUGAGACCAGCCUGGCCAACAUGGUGAAACCCUGUCUCUACUAAAAAUACCAAGAAAAAAAGUUUGUCAAAACAUUAAAAAACACUUUUAUUAUUGGUUAUAAAUGUACAUGGAACGGAAAAAAUAGUACAAACUAGUAUUUAUUUAGUACCAAGUUCUCUGUCACUCAAUCCAGCUGCCUAGAAUGUCUUAAAUGGCAGUGGGGUCAGCAUUCCCAUGGUCAAUUGUUUCUUCUACACCUGCAUUGAUAUGUCCAGUUUGAAUUUCACUUCUGCUGUAAUCACUUUUCCUUUCUUUACUGCUCUCUCAUCUUUGUUUUGGCCAAUUUCCUUUUCCUUUUUUUUUUUUUUUUUUUUUGAGACACAGUCUUGGUCUGUUGCCCAGGCUGUAGUGCAGUGGCAUGAACUUGGCUCACUACAACCUCCACCUCCCAGGUUCAAGUGAUUAUCCUGCCUCAGCCUCCUGAGUAGCUGAGAUUACAGGUGCAUGCCACCACGCCUGACUGAUUUUUGUAUUUUUGGUAGAGAUGGGGUUUCACCAUGUUGGUCAGGCUGGUCUCGAACUCCUGACAUCGUGAUCCGCCUGCCUUGGCCUCCCAAAGUACUGGGAUUACAGGCAGAGCCUUGCUGUGUCAUCCAGAGCUGGACUGCAAUGGCAUGAUCUUGGCUCACUGCAACCUCUGCCUCUUGGGUUCAAGCAAUUCUCCUGCCUCAGCCCCCUCAGUAGCUGGGAUUACAGGCAUGCACCACCAUGCCAGGCUAAUUUUUGUACUUUUAGUAGAGACGGGGUUUCACCAUGUUGACCAGGUUGGUCUCGAGCUGCUGACCUCAUGAUCCACCUGCCUCAGUCCCCCAAAGUGCAGGGAUUACAAGCAUGAGCCACUGCACCCAGCCUAUAAUACUUUUAAUAAAGAAUAGCACUUUAGGUCAGGCACAGUGGCUCAUGCCUAUAAUCCCAGCAUUUUGGGAGGCCAAGUUGGGUGGAUAGAUUGAACCCAGGAGUUUGAGACCAGCCUGGGCAGCAUAGUGAAAGCCUGUCUCUACAAAAAAUUAUCUGGGCCUGGUGGCGUGUGCCUGUAGACCUGGCUACUCAGUAGGCUGAGGUGGGAGGAUUGCCUGAGCUCAGGGAAGUUGAGACUACAGUGAGCUGUGCAUUGCACCACUGCCCUCCAGCCUGGGCAACAGAGCAAGAUCCUCUUUCAAAAACAAAACAAAACAAAAAACCUAGCAUUUUCUAUUUCUUGAAGUUAUUCCCCCCAUAUAUUUUUGUUAAAGGUUUUAUCUACUCCAUUUGUUAGUUUCCCUCACCCCAUACAAAAGUUUUGCGUUCUCAUUGGAUUUGCAUUACCCUGAGGUGUAAAAACUUUUCCUUGCUUUCCAAGAUCAGGCCAGAAUCCAGGGAUUGGGACUCAGAUUGCACCUGCUUUUCUCUGUUCUGGACAGCUCCGCUCCUCAGAACCACCUCAACAUUACCAACUGCCUUGGGGUCAGCUCCCUGAGCCCUGAUUUUUCCUCCUCCCUGCCUAGUGGUUCUUCCACAGCAGGUCUGUCUUCAUUUCCAGCAAAUGGAAGCCUCAUCUGGACACCGAUGCAUCUCCAGGUUUUCUUUCUGUCUUCAGGAUGCCACAAUUUGGAGUUAUGUGUGAUUCUAUUCAGAGCAGAUUUUCCCACUCUGAAUGUGGAGACAAUAUUGGACCUUUGGGCUCUAACCUCAACUUGCUAUUUGCUUGUCUGACUGAGCAACAUUCUAACGACUGCUUACCUGCCUACUAAUCUUUACUACAAAGGCUCUGUCUUAUUGGUUAGCUGACAGCUUUCACUAAGCCAUCUCUCUGACCAUAGUUAUCUGUGUGACAAACAGAGAUGAAUGGAUUAAGGGCUUUUGCCAGGGUGAGUGGCUGGGUGAUAAUUUCUCUCCUCAUUCUUCACAGCUCUGGAACACAUCCCCUGCUCCUGCCUCCGCACCUUCUCCCGUCUGGAACACGUUAAGGGGUUUCAUAAGCAGAUGUAACUUAGCAUACUUCCUGACCUGGCACCCAAUAUACAGUUUCAUGAACUUGUUCAUAUAUGAACUGCAUAUUUCUGGGGAGUGUGUUGAUAGCUUCCAUCAUACUCUCAGAAGAGUCAAUAAACCAAGAACCACAGCAAAAACAAGACCCUCAGAAAACUCUCAGAUGGUUUAGACUGCCCCAAACGCCACUUGACUGCUUUUCUUUUUAAAUUUAUUAUACUUUUUUACAUGGGUCUAGCAACCAAAAGAAUGUUUUACUGCUUUUCAAAUCUGGUCUGAGAGCCAAGUUUUAGAGUUGGAGUUGAGAAUCAGGGCUGCAUGUUAACAUUGUUGGCUGAGAGAAACCUGCGUAAGUGGCUUCCAAGAGAGGCCCAAGGGAGUCCAUCUGACCCUUCCUUGCCUAGUGGUCUCCUUUAGCACAGCACAGCGGAGCAUUCUCUCUGUAGCUCAUUCAGAGCCCUUUCGCUCUGAACUGAGAGAUAAAGAAUAAGAUGCCAGAUGUGUUUCUGCAUUGGGAUAAGUAAGGACAACGCAUAUUCUGUGGGAAGGAUAGCUUUUACACCCAGAACUGUCUGAGAUUUUACAGUUAAGCUACAUCAAAAACAUUAAAAACAGGGAAACAAAAAUAUCAAGUAAGAAUGAAUCUAGUAGAAAUAUCUCAAAAGAUAAUAAUAAUAUGAUUAUGUAUUUGUACUUUGUGUUAAUUAUUUGUGAAAUAUUUUUCUUGCAUGAGGCAAUACAGGCAACUCCUGCUUCUUUGAGCAGAAUGAGAAUUUAGUUUAAAGAUAUAGGGGAGAAAAUAGAAUAAGUACAGUGGCAUUGGAUUGGAAUAGGUGUUAUUUUGAGUAUAUGAUUUUCAUUAAAAUAAGAAAUAUGUAAAAA